rnacentral:rRNA from 1 species
CCUACGGGAGGCAGCAGUGGGGAAUAUUGCACAAUGGGGGAAACCCUGAUGCAGCGACGCCGCGUGAGUGAAGAAGUAAUUCGUUAUGUAAAGCUCUAUCAGCAGGGAAGAAAAUGACGGUACCUGAGUAAGAAGCCCCGGGUAACUCCGCGCCAGCAGCCGCGGUAAUACGUAGGGGGCACGCGCUCUCCGGAUUUACUGGGUGUAAAGGGAGCGUAGACGGCGGUGCAAGUCUGGAGUGAAAUGCGGGGGCUCAACCCCCGGACUGCUCUGGAAACUGUACGGCUUGAGUGCAGGAGAGGUAAGUGGAAUUCCUAGUGUAGCGGUGAAAUGCGUAGAUAUUAGGAGGAACACCAGUGGCGAAGGCGGCUUACUGGACUGUAACUGACGUUGAGGCUCGAAAGCGUGGGGAGCAAACAGGAUUAGAUACCCUUGUAGUC